ACGGAAGGCAGCAGUGGGGAAUAUUGCACAAUGGGCGAAAGCCUGAUGCAGCGACGCCGCGUGAGCGAAGAAGUAUUUCGGUAUGUAAAGCUCUAUCAGCAGGGAAGAUAAUGACGGUACCUGACUAAGAAGCACCGGCUAAAUACGUGCCAGCAGCCGCGGUAAUACGUAUGGUGCAAGCGUUAUCCGGAUUUACUGGGUGUAAAGGGAGCGUAGGCGGUUUUACAAGUCUGAUGUGAAAGCCCGGGGCUCAACUCCGGUACUGCAUUGGAAACUGUAGAACUAGAGUGUCGGGGGGGUAAGUGGAAUUCCUAGUGUAGCGGUGAAAUGCGUAGAUAUUAGGAGGAACACCAGUGGCGAAGGCGGCUUACUGGACGAUUACUGACGCUGAGGCUCGAAAGCGUGGGGAGCAAACAGGAUUAGAUACCCUGGUA
rnacentral:rRNA from 1 species